AUUGAACGCUGGCGGCAGGCCUAACACAUGCAAGUCGAGCGGAUGAAGGGAGCUUGCUCCUGGAUUCAGCGGCGGACGGGUGAGUAAUGCCUAGGAAUCUGCCUGGUAGUGGGGGAUAACGUCCGGAAACGGGCGCUAAUACCGCAUACGUCCUGAGGGAGAAAGUGGGGGAUCUUCGGACCUCACGCUAUCAGAUGAGCCUAGGUCGGAUUAGCUAGUUGGUGGGGUUAAGGCCUACCAAGGCGACGAUCCGUAACUGGUCUGAGAGGAUGAUCAGUCACACUGGAACUGAGACACGGUCCAGACUCCUACGGGAGGCAGCAGUGGGGAAUAUUGGACAAUGGGCGAAAGCCUGAUCCAGCCAUGCCGCGUGUGUGAAGAAGGUCUUCGGAUUGUAAAGCACUUUAAGUUGGGAGGAAGGGCAGUAAGUUAAUACCUUGCUGUUUUGACGUUACCAACAGAAUAAGCACCGGCUAACUUCGU
rnacentral:rRNA from 1 species